rnacentral:rRNA from 1 species
GACGAACCGUGCGAACGUUGUUCGGAAUCACUGGGCUUAAAGGGCGCGUAGGCGGGCUGCCAAGUCCGGGGUGAAAUCGUUCGGCCCAACCGGACAAGUGCCUUGGAUACUGGCGGUCUUGAGCGAGGUAGGGGCAGCUGGAACUUCCGGUGGAGCGGUGAAAUGCGUUGAUAUCGGAAGGAACGCCGGUGGCGAAAGCGAGCUGCUGGACCUUUUCUGACGCUGAGGCGCGAAAGCCAGGGGAGCAAACGGG